AGUCAUAUGCUUGUCUCAAAGAUUAAGCCAUGCAUGUCUCAGUACAAGCCAAAUUAAGGUGAAACCGCGAAAGGCUCAUUAAAUCAGUUAUGGUUCCUUAGAUCGUACCCACAUUUACUUGGAUAACUGUGGUAAUUCUAGAGCUAAUACAUGCCAACAGAACUCCGACCGGAGACGGAAGGAGUGCCUUUAUUAGAUCAAAACCAAUCGGUGGGCGGCCUCGGCCGUGUCAUCGUACAACAUGGUGAAUCUGAAUAACGUUUGCUGAUCGCACGGUCUCGCACCGGCGACGCAUCUUUCAAAUGUCUGCCUUAUCAACUGUCGAUGGUAGGUUCUGCGCCUACCAUGGUUGUAACGGGUAACGGGGAAUCAGGGUUCGAUUCCGGAGAGGGAGCCUGAGAAACGGCUACCACAUCCAAGGAAGGCAGCAGGCGCGCAAAUUACCCACUCCCGGCACGGGGAGGUAGUGACGAAAAAUAACGAUACGGGACUCAUCCGAGGCCCCGUAAUCGGAAUGAGCACACUUUAAAUCCUUUCACGAGGAUCAAUCGGAGGGCAAGUCAGGUGCCAGCAGCCGCGGUAAUUCCUGCUCCGAUAGCGUAU
rnacentral:rRNA from 1 species